AAGCAGGAGGAGAAGAAGAGUCAGUCAGUGUCAGAGAGACAUGAUGUGAGACUCACCCUGCCAAUGCCGGCCUUGAAGAUACAAGGAGCCAAGAGCCAAGAAAUGCAGACAGCCUCUAGGAGCUAGAGAAGAUAAGGAAACAGUUUCUCCCCUAGAACUUCCAGGAAGAAAUACAUCCCUGUUGACAUCUUGAUUUUAGCCCAGGGAGUCUAUCAUCAGACUUCUGACCUCCAGGAUGAUCACUUACAUUAGAACCUGGGGCCCACCCUGGAGCUACUGGAUCAGAACCUGGGAUGAGGCCCUGGAAUGUCCACUUUGAACAAGAGAUUCUCCUAAGAGAUUCUGAUGCCCGCCAAAGAUUUAAGAUUCCUGGCCCAGAGGACCGGGCCUGAGCUGUGGGUUUACAGCUGAGUUUCAGGCCCCAACCAACCACAACCCUUCUGGAUGUGUGAUCUUGAAAAAAUUACACUGAGCUACCUCCACAAAAGAGACUCGACAAUAUUUGCCUCCCUCAAUAAUCAUAAGGACAAUUUACCAUUUUGGGGCGCACCCACGGAGUGCCAGGCACCGUGGGAAGCACUUUGCAUAGGCGAUUUCAGCGUGCAUUCUUGUGAACUCCCAAAGGAAGGGAAUAAUUUUACGUUUCAUCAGGGGAUUCUGCUGUGGGCAAUAUUAUGCCCAUUUUAUAGAUUAAGAAACAGAGGCUUAUUAAGGCAAGUCACUCGUUCAAGGGUCACACAGACCCGUAGCUGCCAGUUUUAGGUGCACCGCAGGGUUUUUGGCUGUGCCCUGAGGACUUUUUACCACCGAUCUUCCCUGGGAGACUGCUGUGCUGGCCUCCCAGACCUUAUUCGGUAUGAAUGUCCAGGAUUCUGUUCAAGGAUAACACAGAAAAGAACCUAAUCAGAUUUCAACAAGAGGAUCUCAGCUGUGAAACCGGUGCCAACUUUCCAACACGGCAAGCAGGAAAUGAGUCUGCUGGAAUCUUUCACCAACUCGGGAAACAAGGAAAGACACUUAGAAUGAUCAGUAAGUGAAGGGAUCUUGGUGUGUGUCCUGUUCUGGGGAUGGGGUGCAGUCCCAUGAUGAUAAGCAUCCUGAUACCCCUGGCCCCCAAACCCAAUUCACUUUUACCUAAUGCCAGUGUGAGGGCUUUUGCCACGCACAUAAAUAUCCUUC
rnacentral:lncRNA from 1 species